rnacentral:rRNA from 1 species
UACGAAGGGGGCUAGCGUUGCUCGGAAUCACUGGGCGUAAAGCGCACGUAGGCGGAUUCCUAAGUCAGGGGUGAAAUCCUGGAGCUCAACUCCAGAACUGCCUUUGAUACUGGCGAUCUCGAGUCCGGGAGAGGUGAGUGGAACUGCGAGUGUAGAGGUGAAAUUCGUAGAUAUUCGCAAGAACACCAGUGGCGAAGGCGGCAUCCUGGACCAAUACUGACGCUGAGGAGCGAAAGCCAGGGGAGCAAACGGG